UUUCCGGUGGUAAUGGCAAAGAGGAAACACCCGUUCUCAUCCCGAACACGGAAGUUAAGCUCUUUAGCGCCGAUGGUACUACAUGGGAAGCUGUGUGGGAGAGUAGGUCACUGCCGGAAA
rnacentral:rRNA from 1 species